rnacentral:rRNA from 1 species
GGAAGUGCGGUGACGCAUGGAGCGGACCAUUACUAAUCGGUCGAGGACUUAACCAAG